UACAGAGGGGGCAAGCGUUAUUCGGAAUUAUUGGGCGUAAAGGGCGCGUAGGCGGCCAUUCAAGUGACGGGUGAAAGCCCUCGGCUUAACCGAGGAACUGCCUGUCAGACUGGAUGGCUUGAGACCGGGAGAGGUGAGUGGAAUUCCCAGUGUAGCGGUGAAAUGCGUAGAUAUUGGGAGGAACACCAGUGGCGAAGGCGGCUCACUGGACCGGAACUGACGCUGAGGAGCGAAAGCGUGGGGAGCGAACAGG
rnacentral:rRNA from 1 species